GGGGGGGGGGGGGGGGGGGGGGGGGGGAGGCGGGGCGGGCGGGAGGGCCCUGCGGUUGUGGGGUGCUCGAGGGGCGAACGGGUGAGUAACACGUGAGUAACCUGCCCUUGACUUUGGGAUAACUUCAGGAAACUGGGGCUAAUACCGGAUAGGAGCUCCUGCUGCAUGGUGGGGGUUGGAAAGUUUCGGCGGUUGGGGAUGGACUCGCGGCUUAUCAGCUUGUUGGUGGGGUAGUGGCUUACCAAGGCUUUGACGGGUAGCCGGCCUGAGAGGGUGACCGGCCACAUUGGGACUGAGAUACGGCCCAGACUCCUACGGGAGGCAGCAGUGGGGAAUAUUGCACAAUGGGCGGAAGCCUGAUGCAGCAACGCCGCGUGCGGGAUGACGGCCUUCGGGUUGUAAACCGCUUUCGCCUGUGACGAAGCGUGAGUGACGGUAAUGGGUAAAGAAGCACCGGCUAACUACGUG
rnacentral:rRNA from 1 species